UACGGAGGGUGCAAGCGUUAAUCGGAAUUACUGGGCGUAAAGCGUGCGUAGGCGGUUCGUUAAGUCUGUUGUGAAAGCCCCGGGCUCAACCUGGGAAUGGCAAUGGAUACUGGCGAGCUAGAGUGUGUCAGAGGAUGGUGGAAUUCCCGGUGUAGCGGUGAAAUGCGUAGAGAUCGGGAGGAACACCAGUGGCGAAGGCGCCGUGCUGGGCGGGCCCUGACGCUGAGGCGCGAAAGCUAGGGGAGCGA
rnacentral:rRNA from 1 species